rnacentral:rRNA from 1 species
UGGGAAUUUUGGACAAUGGGCGAAAGCCUGAUCCAGCAAUGCCGCGUGUGUGAAGAAGGCCUUCGGGUUGUAAAGCACUUUUGUCCGGAAAGAAAUCCUUGGCUCUAAUACAGUCGGGGGAUGACGGUACCGGAAGAAUAAGCACCGGCUAACUACGUGCCAGCAGCCGCGGUAAUACGUAGGGUGCAAGCGUUAAUCGGAAUUACUGGGCGUAAAGCGUGCGCAGGCGGUUUGCUAAGACCGAUGUGAAAUCCCCGGGCUCAACCUGGGAACUGCAUUGGUGACUGGCAGGCUAGAGUAUGGCAGAGGGGGUAGAAUUCCACGUGUAGCAGUGAAAUGCGUAGAGAUGUGGAGGAAUACCGAUGGCGAAGGCAGCCCCUGGGCAAUACUGACGCUCAUGCACGAAAGCGUGGGGAGCAAACAGGAUUAGAUACCCUGGUAGUCCACGCCCUAAANGAUGUCAACUAGUUGUUGGGGAUUCAUUUCCUUAGUAACGUAGCUAACGCGUGAAGUUGACCGCCUGGGGAGUACGGUCGCAAGAUUAAAACUUAAAGGAAUUGACGGGGUCAUAGCUGUUUCCU